rnacentral:rRNA from 1 species
UACGGGGGGGGCAAGCGUUGUUCGGAAUUACUGGGCGUAAAGGGCUCGUAGGCGGCCAACUAAGUCAGACGUGAAAUCCCUCGGCUUAACCGGGGAACUGCAUCUGAUACUGGAUGGCUUGAGUUCGGGAGAGGGAUGCGGAAUUCCCAGUGUAGAGGUGAAAUUCGUAGAUAUUGGGAAGAACACCGAUGGCGAAGGCAGCCAUCUGGACCGACACUGACGCUGAGGCGCGAAAGCGUGGGGAGCAAACAGG